ensembl:lncRNA WDFY3-AS2 WDFY3 antisense RNA 2
AGUUCUGGCAGUAAAGACAAACUGAGUCAGCAGUUAGGAGUGGACUCCCUUAAACAACAGAGUUAGAGUGGGGAAGUGGUCAUAACAUCGCUGUAAUCACAAACUUGUUUUUCCUAACACUGCAAUCUACAGAAGUUUCAGGAUUUCCUCUAAUAAACAUAAGGCUACUAGACGCAACAAUAGAAUUACCAUAUUGUUUUUCCUGGUUUGAAAGGACCAGAUGGAAAGAAACUGGGCAAGCCAAUGAAAGUCUCUGGGGAUCAUGGGAAUUGAGUGUCUAUGAAAACCAUAUUCCAGACAAGAAUAUAGUCUAAGGACACAGCAAGAGGCAACAUUUUGGAAGCAGAGGGCAACUCUCACUGGAAACCAAAUCUCCUGGCACCUUGAUCUUGGAUUUUACAGCCUCCAGAACUGAUAGCUGGGAGGCAUUACAUAGUCAUGUGCGAGGUCAAAACUGAGUCACCACCACAACCAAGUUCCAGCUGGCAAGAAGAGGAAAAAUAACACAGAGGAGUUAUGACCAGUGUUGUAAGGAUCUGGCCUAGAAAUGGCAUGCAUCUCUUCCACUAAUAUCCUAUUGGUAAAAAUGUAGUCACAUGGGCACACCACCUAUCUGCAUGGAAGGCUGGGAAAUGUUGAUCGGUAGGGCAGCCAUAUGUGUAGGAAGGAGAAAACAGAAUUUGGUGGAUACCUAGUAGUCUCUGCCAUACCCUUGACCAGAAAUUUUUCUUCUAAAGAAUUUAAUUCUAAAAGUUAUAGACAUUCCCAAAGAUAUACCUGCAAGCAUCACAGCUUUGUGUAUAAUUGCAAAAGUUGAAAUCAACAUGAAUGCCCAAAAUAGUGAAUUAUUUAAACAGAUUAUUACCCAUAUUAUGAAGAAAUACUCUGCAACUCUUAAAAAUAAAUGUAAUGUGCCAGGCGCAAUGGGAUAUGCCUGCAGGCCCAGCUACACGGGAGGCCAAGGCAGGAGGAUCACUUGAAAUCAAGAGUUCAAGUCUAGCCUAGACAACAUAGUGAGACUUGGUCUCUAAAAAAGAAAAAAAAAAAUAAAACUGAUGUAAUGAAUAUAUAAUUACAACAAAAGAGGUCUAACACUAUAGUAGAAAAGUUUGGGGCACUCAUCCCAUUCAUAAUUAUUUUACAUUUAAAUUACUGUUCCUACUUAAGUGGUGAGCUUGGUAACCAUUUUCAUAUCAGGUGAUACUGCUGCAGUAAUCAUAGCUGUUUGAAUCAGGAAUAAUCCCAAUCACAUUUUCUCUUAAUCGUUUAUUAUACUGGGCAUUGGGGUUGCAAGAUAAUGCACAGUCCGAGCUCAAUACAUGUCUUCAUGUACCUGUAUGUAAAUCCCACUUUUAUUCUAAAAUUCUUUGAAUAUUUUGUUUCUUGGAACCCAAUGAUCCUAAGAAAAUUAUGUACUUUUACCUGAAAAUUAAAACCAAUAUUUAUAAAAAGUGUAUAUGCAGUAUGAUACCACUUUUAAAAAAAGAUAAAUUUAUAGAAAAAAGUUUAUAUGACUGACAACAAUGUCUCUGAGUGGUAGGAUUACAGUUAAUUUUUAUUUUCUUCAUUCUACUUAUCUUUAUUUUCUGAACUUUCUACAAUGAACAUGUUUUAUUUUUACUUUUGUUAAAAUAAAUAACAUUUAAUUUGACGGAAAAUUCUAAAAAUCAACAUUUGGUAACUUAAAUAUUCAUUGGCACAUGAUUCUGUGCCUGUUUCUGGGGGUCAUUCCCAUGAGAAGAGCAGGUAGAACUUAUGAGAAUAGAGCAGUCGAAAUAUUAUAGGUUUCAUAUUUUACGGCUUUAUUGAAAACAUUGAUAUAUUGAAUAUUCAUAAAUUUUAAUUUAACUUUCUUUUAUAAUCCUUAAUGUGAGGCUAAGGUAUAAGGAGAAAGGAGAUUGGUAAGGAAGUGUGAUACAUAUUGAAUCAGGUGUCAAGGUACCAUUUGUGCCUGGAUCUGACCAAUAGACCAAGGUAAAAAUCUCAAAGAAUGAGACUUGUAAUGAGAAUGCCACAAACUUGAAUACCUUAUGCACAAAACACAAACAUUGUUAUGCAUAAUGUACAUGAACCCUGAAACAAAGAUAAUGAUUUGGACCACCCAACUGAAGUGGCAUGUUAUGUUUUUGGCAUGAACAAAAGAAACAAGAGAGAAAAAAAUCAAAAUAAUUAAAAUAAAUUGUUAGAGAAAAGUUACUUUAAAAAUAGCUAUAACGCUUUGCAAUUUCAGUAACAGUUCUGCCUCUGAUGCAAUGUAAAACAUGUAUUAGACAUUCAGGCUCCACAAUAAAUUUUAAUGAGCACUACAAAUUUAGAAUAUAUAAAAAUAUCAGUAACCUAUGAAUUCAUCAACAUAACUCACUUUUCAGUUAAGUUAGGCUGAGUUGAAAUUCUACUAAGUUUUCCCAUAUUCUUGAUAAAGGCUAAAUUUGAAAUAAUUUAUUUAGAUGACUAAUUGGCAAUUUGAUAGUAGUUACAUUUUAUGUAACACUUGAUAUAAUAACCCAAAUUAAUUAGCUCAAUAUUAUCUUCUGUGGUUUAUUGAUCCAAAAGUACAUAUUUGUUAUGUAAACUUAUACUAUGUAAACUUGAAUUAGUUUUUUGCUUCCUUGAAUUAAUAAAGCCCAUUAAUGCAAAUCUAAGCCUUCAUAGACUUUUCCAAUCCUUAGUUAAAUAUUAAAAACUGAGUAUUGUAGUUAUUUGCUAGGUAUAAAAGGUGACUCAGAGUAGAGAGUAAGAUGUCAGCAAAUAGACAAUAAGAUGUCAGCAAAAGUGCCUCAAAUUUUAACUGCGUCAAGUUAAGGGCAUUGUAAAUACUGUAGUUUUAUGUAGCUUGCAACUUCUACUGAAAUGAGUUUAAUCAUGUCUUUCACAUAGCUGAAGUUUGUGUCAAGAUUUAAGCUGAUUUUCUCAUUCUUAUCAAAGUCUCACCUGGGGGUAGGGAGGGGUAGGCCUACCUCCCACCUCUAUACUAUCAUUUUAGGAACAGACAGGCAUAAAUCUGUUCAUAUGGUAGAACACAUGAUGUUAGAGUAUAUUUUGUUGAAUGCUAUGGAAUAUUAAUAUAAUUAAUUCUAAAAUAUCACCUAAAAUAUGUCAACUGAAGAUCUGACUGUACUAAAUAUGAAAAAUAAAGCA